rnacentral:rRNA from 1 species
GACGAACGCUGGCGGCGUGCUUAACACAUGCAAGUCGAACGGAAAGGCCCUGCUUGCAGGGUACUCGAGUGGCGAACGGGUGAGUAACACGUGGGUGAUCUGCCCUGCACUUCGGGAUAAGCCUGGGAAACUGGGUCUAAUACCGGAUAGGAGCCAUUUUUAGUGUGAUGGUUGGAAAGUUUUUUCGUUGUAGGAUGAGCUCGCGGCCUAUCAGCUUGUUGGUGGGGUAAUGGCCUACCAAGGCGGCGACGGGUAGCCGGCCUGAGAGGGUGGACGGCCACAUUGGGACUGAGAUACGGCCCAGACUCCUACGGGAGGCAGCAGUGGGGAAUAUUGCACAAUGGGCGCAAGCCUGAUGCAGCGACGCCGCGUGGGGGAUGACGGCCUUCGGGUUGUAAACUCCUUUCGCUAGGGACGAAGCUUUUUGUGACGGUACCUAGAUAAGAAGCACCGGCUAACUACGUG